rnacentral:rRNA from 1 species
UACGUAGGGUGCAAGCGUUGUCCGGAAUUAUUGGGCGUAAAGAGCUCGUAGGCGGUCAGUCGCGUCUGCUGUGAAAACUCGGGGCUUAACUCCGGGCCUGCAGUGGGUACGGGCUGACUAGAGUGCGGUAGGGGAGACUGGAAUUCCUGGUGUAGCGGUGAAAUGCGCAGAUAUCAGGAAGAACACCUAUGGCGAAGGCAGCUCUCUGGGACGGUACUGACGCUGAGACGCGAAAGCGUGGGGAGCGAACAGG